UCCAUGAAGCCCAGUCCGUGCCAAGCUCGAAGUUUUUCAGAGGCUGCUCAGUUGUGAUUAGUGCUCGUUGUCGCUGAAGUUGCCAGCUCCGAGCAUCUUCGUUAGAUUUCAUGAAGUGGAGUCUGAGGGAGAGUUCGCUUGUUGAUGAAUUUGUCAGCUGAGCUAUGGCAGAACAUCACACCCAUGUCGAUGCAAGGAGGUUUUUUUUUGCUUCAAUGGGCUUACUGGGUCCUUCACUGUUGUCGAGUUUUUAGGUUUGUCACCGAUAUUGAGUUGCUUCAUGAGGAAUGGAUUUGUGGGGGGGGCAAGCUUCUGUAUAUGGAAGCCAUGAACUUGUCGUUGUAAUCCGUAAACCCCAAAUCUGUAGAAGACGAGGUGAGGAAGUAAUCAAGAGAGGGGGAUGUGGCAGUGUGGGAUGAACAGGCUUCCGCUUUCCAAUGGAGUCUUGUUCACUUGUCACGGAUUUCUUGACUGGAUGCAUUCUUGGAACGCCGUCCAGGUUGUACAAAAGAGGUUUUAGACGAAUAUUGGAGAGUGGACAUGGGUAGACCCUAUCUGGGUUGUAGUUCACGCUUUGAUCAACAAACACUCGAAAAAUAGAAUGCAGGAGACGCCGAAUUGUUUUAAAAGGUAUGGCGCAUUAUUUUACCAGGCUUCUCCAUCAGGAGCCCUUAGGUGACAUGACUUUGGAGAUUAAACUUCCUUUGCUCGUUCAUUGAUUAAGUUAUGCUGAGCAGGUUGUUUUGCUUUCAAUUGUGCAAUUUACUAUGAUUAAAAACGGUUUGUUUCGAGUCAUCGCUCUGGAACGUACAUGUUGCUUUGUUUGUUGCCGGCGCUUGAACGAUUUGAAGCAGAUUUUGAGCAGGCACAGAGUAUUUUCACUGGAAAAGAACCAGGAAACAAGUGAAAGCAACAUUCAAGCACGAAGUGUAGGUGAAUUAGAUACGCCCAGCUGAUGGUCUUGGCCACAAAACAUAAGGUCUCUGAUGAUACUCAAAUCUUACAAGGUGUCACUGUGUUUUUUGGAAGUACAGUCAUGUAGUACAUAAUGCUACUAGUCAUGUAGCUGGGCCCUUGCAAUCUCAACACUAUCGAGACAUCAUUGAAAGCACAAAAGGAUGAUGAUGAAGAAAAUAGGUUGGCACUCUAUUAGUAAAUGCUGAAAAAGAUGAAAUAACCAACAAUCAGAGGGUUGGAACACAAGUCGUAACCGAGAACUUCUACGAACUAUGAACUCCAUGUGAACACGAUUGUUUUUGAUCAGGUGGACAUAGCGGGAGAACUGAAUCUGCAUCUAGAACCGUUGUUUCUAUUCGUCAGUCGAGAGAAUCAUCAUCAGUCAAUUGACGGUUAAAUUGCCUCGGGAAGUAUUGAAUGGGUAGUGCCGAUGAACAACGACCAGGUCUGAAGUGUGAAGUUUGGCUGUCUCAAACAAGUUUUCUGUGGGGCAAACAGUUUGAAAGAAAAAUUGUCUUGUAAUUGCGCAUUCGAGGGGCUUAUCCGUGAUCAGUGACAGUGAGCUUCAAGGGCUUCAUCAAAGGUGGCUAGGCUCUGAGAUGGACUAGUUGGAGAGGAGGAUGUCAAAAACUCCAUAUUUCAUUCUUAUCAUGUCAAAGCUUCACCAUCGCCUUCAGCAAUCUCUUAAUUAGCAAUUCGAAGAUAUCUCUUUCUCACUAAGAUGCGGGUGUGUAUCAAUAGGUCAACUAGUCUGAUCAAACCAUUCUAUGCUUCAUGACCAAGAAUCUCAGAUAAUUUUGUUCAA